AUGUAGACAUCUUUGGGGGGCAUUCUUCUGCCUACCACAGUGACUUAUCUAGCAAGUGUGGACAUGAAAUGAUAUUUUGUUUAAGGGUCCUAGAUGUGGAGUCAGAAGAAUGGUCUUGCAUGCUGACUCCAAUAUUUACUAGUCAUGAUCUUGGACAAUGACUAAAUUUCUCAAUUAAUUUCUUCAAUUAUAAGAUGAGAAUUGCAGCACCUCUUCCAAAGUUCUUUUGCUAAUCUUAAACUCGGUAGUUUCUGCAGAAGGAAUGCAAAGCUUGUGUGGAGGUUAUACAUGAUGCUAUAGGAACAAGAGAGAUCUUGCUUUGAAUUGUGGCUCUCCCUCUUUCUAAUUAAGCUGCCACCACAGCAUGGCCAGUGACAGACGAGUGGUGUAGGUCCAUGUGCGGGAACUGAACCCAGGCCACUGAAGCAGAGCAUGCCACACUCAACCACUAGGCCACUGGGGCUGGCCAUAUUUCAUUCUUUAAUGACCGUGACUACUUACUAAAAGGAUGUGUAUGCCUGUUGGGCACUGCAUGACUUCAUAACCCUUGGAAUCAGAUUGCACUCGCCCACCGUCGUGUCUUGUUCCAAGUUGAUUUUUCACACAGCAAGCGCCCAGUGCUCAGCUUUGCAAAGCUCUGACACCACUGAAAGGAAGGUAGCAUGACUCAAUGUUGAAACUCGGAACAACCGCCAGCAAGGAGUUUGCUGGCAUCUGACAGAGAUCAAGUAUUUCUGUGUUUCCCUCAAAAAUAUAAAAUACCUUAUGAUGCCUCUGUGGGUUAUAUAGUUUCUGUUGAUGUAACUACUUGACUCUGUUGUGGUGUGAAAGUGCUAUAAACAAUACAUGAACCAAUGGAUGUGGCUGUGUCCCAAUAAAACGGUAUUUGUAAAUAUGCCCACAUUUUGUUAAAACAGGUGGUAAGUGUGAUUAAUUUGGUUCACAGGCCAUAGUUUGUCAACAUUUGUGCAAGCACUUUCUAUGCUGUAUUGUAUUUGACUGUCUUGAAAGUGGACAUAGCCAUAAAUCUUCAUUGUUUCAUUUAAUUCCCAUAAUAAUCCAUGUGUUACAAUAUCUCCGUUCUAGAUGAAGGAUUUGGUUUCAGAGAUGUAACUUGCUGAAGGUCAAAUGGUUAGCCGUGCAGUGGGGCUGAUACUUGGUUCAAACAGAUUCUGGCAAAUCAACAAAGCCCCAGCGCUUUCUACACCACCAUAUUGAAAUUGAGUCUGGAUCCAGCCUCCCAAUAAUUUGCUCUUAAACUUUGUCAUGAACAUUAGCUUCCCUGGGGUA
rnacentral:lncRNA from 1 species